UUUUCAGUAUCUAACUGAAAGACCCCCAGAGCGGGAAGACCCUCACUCAAGUCUCAGGAUGACACGAGCCCCCAAGAACUCAUGUAAGACC
rnacentral:pre_miRNA from 14 species